GAAUAGGUUAUUAAGGGCGUAUGGAGGAUGCCUUGGCACAAAAAGGCGAUGAAGGACGCGGCAUGACUGCGAUAAGCGUCGGGGAGCCGUCUAGCGGGCUUUGAUCCGGCGGUGUCCGAAUGGGGCAACCCAUGGCGAGUAAUGUCGCCAUAUCUUUAUCCGUAAGAGAUAAAGGAGCAAACCCGGGGAAGUAAAACAUUUCAGUACCCGGAGGAAAAGAAAAAAAGAAUCAAUCUAUUAUUCAUGGGUCCGGAUAGUCGGGCUAAUGAAUAAUAUUUUGAUAAUAUUCCCCCAGUAGCGGCGAGCGAAAAGGGAGGAGUCCAAACCCAUCCGAUACUUUCGCAAGAAAGUAACGGGUGGGGGUUGUAAGGAAUAAUCGUUCUUGUAGCAAUACAAGAGGAAAGUCUAUAAACUUCCACCCUUCGGGUGGUCGCCCGCAGGGGCGAAAAAAUUGAUUAGUUGAACGGUUUUGGAAAAGCCGACCAAAGGGGGUAAUAGUCCCGUAAGCGAAAAUCUUUUUAAUACUUUCUGGUUAUUUUCUUGAGUACCGCGGGGAAAGACUGCCCCGCGGGAAGCCGGGAGAACUACACUCCCAAGACUAAAUACUUUUUGUGACCGAUAGUGAACUAGUACCGUGAGGGAAAGGUGAAAAGCAGCCCGGUGAGGGCGAUGAAAUAGAUCCUGAAACCAUACGCUUACAAAGAGCGGGAGCCCGCAAGGGUGACCGUGUGCCUAUUGAAGAAUGAGCCAACGACUUUAUAGGAACGGCUUGGGUAAACCUCGUUUGAGGCGGACCCGUAGGGAAACCAAGUCUGAAUAGGGCGUUUUUGUCGUUCUUAUAAGACCCGAAGCCAGGCGAGCUUACCAUGGUCAGGUUGAACCCCGCAGAAAUGCGGGGGGAGGACCGCACCCACUAGCCGUGCGACACUAGGGGAUGAACUGUGGUAAGAAGUGAAAAGCUAAUCGAGCCUGGGAAUAGCUGGUUCUCUCCGAAAUAGUUUUAGGACUAGCCCCGCGUGUUUUUUAUUGGAGGUAGAGCACUGGUUGGUAUUGAUUGGCGCAAGCUAGCAAGACCAGUCAAACUCCGAAUUCCAUUAAAAUAACUCGGGAGUCAGUAUUCGGGGGCAAAGCUCCGAAUACAAGAGAGCAAGAACUCGGACCAUCGUCUAAGGUCCCUAAAUUUUGGCUAAGUGUAGAAGGAAGUGAUGCGUCGAAGACAAAUAGGAGGUUGGCUUAGAGGUAGCCAUCCUUUAAAGAGUGUGUAACAACUCACUAUUAUAUUUCCCUUUGGGAGAUUGACGCAUCGCGCCGAAGAUAUAACGGGACUAAGCCAGAUACCGAAGACAUGGGUUUGCGAAUUUUAAUUCGCAAGCGGUAGGAGAGCGUUUUUAGCGCAGCGAAGAUUGACCCGCGAGGGCGAUUGGAGCGCUAAGAAGUGAAAAUGUUGGCAUGAGUAACCUGCAAGACAGAUGAGAAAUCUGUCCGCUGAAAGCCUGAGGUUUCCUUGGCAAUGAAAAUCAGCCAAGGGUUAGGCGGUCCUAAGGCAAUGGAGAAAUCCGCAGCCGAUGGACAGACGGUUAAUAUUCCGUCCCUAUCUCAAGCGCUUUUACGGAAUGACGAAGUUUAGUAUGCCGGGCGCCUUAUUGGAUUGGCGUUCUUUGCAUCAGAGUUUUUGGAAGGCAAAUCCUUCCAAAUGCGUUUAAUCGCAAACUUAAGUGUCGAGAAAAUUUUCCCGUUCGCGGGAAGAAAUUUGGCAAAGCAAGCUUCCAAGAAAACUUUCGUAAAUUAGCUUGAGGUAUCCGUACCGAAAACCGACACAGGUGGGCAGGGCGAGCAGCCCACAGCGAACGAGUGAUCCGUGGUUAAGGAACUCGGCAAAAAAGC
rnacentral:rRNA from 1 species